AGUGAACGCUGGCGGUAGGCCUAACACAUGCAAGUCGAACGGCAGCACAGUAAGAGCUUGCUCUUACGGGUGGCGAGUGGCGGACGGGUGAGGAAUACAUCGGAAUCUACUUUUUCGUGGGGGAUAACGUAGGGAAACUUACGCUAAUACCGCAUACGGCCUACGGGUGAAAGCAGGGGAUCUUCGGACCUUGCGCGAUUGAAUGAGCCGAUGUCGGAUUAGCUAGUUGGCGGGGUAAAGGCCCACCAAGGCGACGAUCCGUAGCUGGUCUGAGAGGAUGAUCAGCCACACUGGAACUGAGACACGGUCCAGACUCCUACGGGAGGCAGCAGUGGGGAAUAUUGGACAAUGGGCGCGAGCCUGAUCCAGCCAUACCGCGUGGGUGAAGAAGGCCUUCGGGUUGUAAAGCCCUUUUGUUGGGAAAGAAAAGCAGCAGGUUAAUACCCCGCUGUUCUGACGGUACCCAAAGAAUAAGCACCGGCUAACUUCGUG
rnacentral:rRNA from 1 species